AGCCGGCUUCACUCCAUCUGCUACUUUCGUGUUAUGCUCAAUUCAUUUCAAACUGCCUGACUUUGCGAGGAGAAUUGACAUUAUCAUUGGAAACCAAAGUGAAAACAUUAAAAGCCUAAGAAGGCUUGAAAUCGGAGGGAUUCCAUCAAUCGAUGCAGCUGGAACCCUUUCAGGAGCGCCGGAAAGCGAAAGGGAUAAACAGAAUGCAAGAAAGGUUCGUAGGGCCUAAUUUUUUUACAAUGGGUCUUUUCUUUUGGAGAUGUAUCAAAUUUUAAUUAUAGACACAUAUAAUUAUAGAUACAUAUGCACAAGAAAGGCUUAAGGGCUCCAAAUUAAGUUUAGGCUUUGAUUUAUACAAAAAGUAAUGGUCUUUCUUGUGACAUUUCUAAUGUCCUUGUAGCUGUUCUGUUCCAUGUUUCUUCAAUGCCUACUCCCAAAAUUACUUUUCAGGCUUUAAAACGAUAGCAAAGUCGCCUGACAUUGACCCCAAAACCAAAGGCACUGCCGAUCCCUUCAUCCUUGAAUCUGUUCAAUGCUCAAGAGAGGCUCAUUUAGACGAGUUUGUAGACACCCUAACCACAACAAAAAAAGCUAGCUGCCUUAAAUGUCCAGUUUUGUCAGCUAAGCUAGUUACAUGCCAGAAGAAGAACAGUAGGCUAAAGAAAGAGGUAAAGAUGCUGAUAAAGAGAGUACAUGAGUUGGAAAACCAGAAUGACGAUGUUAGUUUUUAAGGUUGCUGUCUAGUGCAUGACAUUUAAGGUUGCUGUUAGCGUUAAAUUUGAUGAUAAGAACUUUAAUAAAUUUAUAAAACAUAGAUUCCACACAGUGGUAAAGUUCUAGCAAAAUAACAAGGGGGGCUCUAAACUAUAUCUGAAUCUUACUAAGUAUAUCUGAACUACAAAAUUUUCACAGGCAAAUGAGGCAGGAACCAGCAAUGCCAUGGGGCUGCUUGGAGCAAAGAAAUGUUUUGCCAGUCUGCAGAAAGAAAAAGUUGACAUAUCAACAUUUGUAUCAGACCGCUAUACUGGAAUUGCAAAGUGGAUAAGGAACAACCAGAAAGAUACCCAUCAUUAUUAUGACAUUUGGCAUGUGGCAAGGUCAAUUUGUAAAAGGAUUUCACAAGCUGCUAAAGAGAAAGGGUUGGACAGGCUGCAAUAUUGGGUCAAGGGAAUUUGAAGACAUUUGUAUUGGUGUGUUUUAUCAACAAGACAAGGCUUUGGUGCAAUGAUUGCUGCUAAAUGGACAUCCAUUAUGAGGCAUAUUGCAAACAGGCAUGAUGGCCAUGAUAAUCCGCUUUUCCAAAAUGCAAACAUGAUCAACUGGAGAAGAGAAAAUGGUUCAAAAUAGGCUGGGAGAGGUCUGGCAUUAUCGUAUCCAAGAAAGCCUAACAUCCAGCGAAUAAGCCAUCUAUAUGCAACGGCUUUUGAAAAUCUGCAAGAAAGUUAAGAUGCUUUGUAGAAUUGUCAAGAGGUUUCUUGACCGAACAUUUAGUUUAAUCAAGGGAAAAUUGCUUUAUGUACAAUGAAUUGAAGAUUUCAGUUGGAAUAUUGUCUCUUACUGUAUUCUCUAAUUGCUAUAACUUUAUUAUUGCUUAUAUAACUAACUUAUGUACAAGAUAGUUAAUGUCUUUUCUAAAUUUUUCAAAGCCGUUUUUAGAAAUGAGUUUACUGUGGAACGCCCAACUGUCUAAAGACUGUUUUGCAGCAUCUGUGUAUUGCAAUAAAUAUAGCAUGUUUUGGCCUUCAUUUUUCUUUGAGGAAAUUCCACUCUCCUGGAUAAAAUUUUUUUAUAAACCUACUCAUUUUCUGUUUGAUUUGCUUGACGCUUGUAGCAUUUUCCAUCUCUAGUUUUGAAAAGAGAUCCAGCAAGUUUUAGGACAGUUUUGUUUGAUAAACAGAGAAAUCUGGAUGAUUAGUAACACAUCUUAGUUCUUCUGCUGUUCCCUGAAAUACCUAUAGCCUGUUGUACCUCCCAACAGCAUCUGUAUUCCCUAGAAGCGACUAGGCCUUCAACAGAGCAUUUCAAUUGAAGAUAUCUAAAUAAAUCUAGGCACAAAUAAGUAAACAUUGUUUAUGCAUAUCAAAGGUAUUCCUUUGGGUUGCUUGCAACCAUUGGUUAAACAGGUUAACCAAGGCCUGCAUUCACUUCAUGCUUUGCUGCGAACCCUUAGAGAAAAAAAACAGGCCCAAUAAAAAAUGGAGUUGAAUAAAAUAGGCCCAAU